rnacentral:tRNA from 1 species
GGGCCCGUAGCCUAGCUGGAUAGGGCGCAGUGCCAGUGGACCGGCGUAAGCCUUCGGAAUGCCCAUGGGGACAGCCUGAUGUCGGGGGUUCAAAUCCCUUCGGGCCCG